rnacentral:rRNA from 1 species
CCAAUAGCGUAUAUUAAAGUUGUUGCAGUUAAAAAGCUCGUAGUUGAAUUUCGGGGUUCAUCCGUUGGUCGGGCUUUUUUGGUCUGUACUGGCGUGAUGGAUUCCUACCUUCUGAAUAACCAGCAUGUCAUUAAUUUGGUGCGCUGGGGAAGCAGGACUGUUACCUUGAAAAAAUUAGAGUGCUUAAAGCAGGCUAUCGCCUGAAUACAUUAGCAUGGAAUAAUGAAAUAGGACGGCAUGGUUCUAUUUUGUUGGUUUCUAGGAUCACCGUAAUGAUUAAUAGGGAUAGUUGGGGGCAUUAGUAUUAAAUUGUCAGAGGUGAAAUUCUUGGAUUUAUUGAAGACUAACUUCUGCGAAAGCAUUUGCCAAGGAUGUUUUCAUUAAUCAAGAACGAAAGUUAGGGGAUCGAAGACGAUCAGAUACCGUCGUAGUCUUAACCAUAAACUAUGCCGACUAGGGAUCGGACGAUGUUAAUUUUUUAAUGACUCGUUCGGCGCCUUACG